AGGUCAUGUAGGCGAAGGAAUA
rnacentral:miRNA from 12 species